CCCCCCCCCCCCCCCCCCCCCGCCGUCUUCCUCCCGUCUCCCUUCCGGCACCGACCACAUCCGGCCCCACGUGCCAACCGUAGACCUGCAGGCGCCCGGGGCAGUCGACCCCGACGCGAUCCAGCCCGGCGGGCUCCUUUCUGUCCAGUGCUGGAUUCCAGCUGGUGGGAAGGACUAACGUGUUCUCUGUGGGAGAUGAUCUCACCGACUAUGCCUGUGGGGCCUUUGGUGCCUGUGACCCCGUGUCCUCGCACAGCUGGCCCAGGACAAAACACACUGGGACCCCAGCAGAUGCAGGCUCACAACCUCACAGCAACAAGUCCAGCAGAGAAAGAGCUUCUCUUUGUCAACCAUCCCACCAGGCCUUGGGCCCGGCUCUCAUCAGCAGGACUGGGCCACCUGUCCCUCCUGUUCUCCCAGCCACCGUGACCUCGAGAUGCAUUAUUAACUUGGGUAACAAUAAGACCUCAUAAAUGCAAAGUGCCCAUUCAAGAACACUCCUUCCAGCUUGUAAUAUAUAAGGAUGCAACUCACCAAUUCCAGGGAUCCCCGUGGAUAAGGAAUACGCUCUAUGAAUGGUGAUCUUCAGAUUGUAGAUUCUUGAAGGGUCUAGGUUGUGUGCGGGUCUCUUCUCUUGGCUGAAUCCUCAAAACCUGGGGCAGCUCAUGCAGACAUACAGACUAGGCUGGUCACAGGACAUCAGAAGGAAGUUGGAAAAAGAAUAAGUAAAUUUCACAGAAGUUCUAUGUAGUGCAAGAAAUAAAUUGCAAGAAUCUUGAAUCUUACA
rnacentral:lncRNA from 1 species